GACGAACGCUGGCGGCGUGCCUAAUACAUGCAAGUCGAACGCUGAGGGGAGGAGCUUGCUCUUCUUGGAUGAGUUGCGAACGGGGGAGUAACGCGUAGGUAACCUGCCUGGUAGCGGGGGAUCACUAUUGGAAACGAUAGCUAAUACCGCAUAAAAUGGAUUAUCACAUGAUACUCCAUUGAAAGGUGCAAAUGCAUCACUACCAGAUGGACCUACGUUGUAUUAGCUAGUUGGUGGGGUAACGGCUCACCAAGGCGACGAUACAUCGCCGACCUGUGAGGGUGAUCGGCCACACUGGGACUGAGACACGGCCCAGACUCCUACGGGAGGCAGCAGUAGGGAAUCUUCGGCAAUGGACGGAAGUCUGACCGAGCAACGCCGCGUGAGUGAAGAAGGUUGUCGGAUCGGAAAGCUCGGUUGUAAGAGAAGAACGAGGGUGAGAGUGGAAAGUUCACACUGUGACGGUAGCUUACCAGAAAGGGACGGCUAACUACGUG
rnacentral:rRNA from 1 species